rnacentral:lncRNA from 1 species
UGCAGGGCUUUUUCUUUUCUCUGGUUUUUCGCGUAUGCUGAACAAAGAAUUGGACAAGACACACAGAAAAGGUCACUUCUAUUUGUGUGGGUGUGAAGCAGUUUUCCCCACCUUCCCCUUUUCUGAGAUGAUAAACUUGAAGACAGACUUGUUUCACAAGACUCAGAUCUAAAGAUGAUGUUACCCUCCAUGGGGGACCCUAGAGGAUGUCACAUAUCGCAGAAAACCGAU